rnacentral:misc_RNA from 1 species
GUAGGUGAACCUGCGGAAGGAUCAUUAACACGUAUCCAACGUUAAACAACCCCGUGAACCUUCAGCCUGCUCUCGUAGCCCACGCGGCAACAGCAAUCCCGGUAAAUCAUUGACGACCAGUUUUGAUUCGGGACCUCUGUUACGAUGUGAGAAGUUACAGUUACGAUCGAGCGGUAGAGUCAGUGGCAUGGCGUCCCCAAGCAGAAUCCAGAGAAUGAAAGGAUGAUCACCGACCGGCAGACAUGUCACA